GCAACCUACCUUAAUCAGGGGGAUAGCCCGAAGAAAUUCGGAUUAACACCGCAUAAAAUCACAGUACAGCAUUGUACAAUGAUCAAAUAUUUAUAGGAUUAAGAUGGCAUGCGUGUCAUUAGCUAGUUGGCGGGGUAAUGGCCCACCAAGGCGACGAUGACUAGGGGAUCUGAGAGGAUGGCCC
rnacentral:rRNA from 1 species